GACGAACGCUGGCGGCGUGCCUAAUACAUGCAAGUUGAGCGAUGAAGAUUGGUGCUUGCACCAAUUUGAAGAGCAGCGAACGGGUGAGUAACGCGUGGGGAAUCUGCCUUUGAGCGGGGGACAACAUUUGGAAACGAAUGCUAAUACCGCAUAAUAACUUUAAACAUAAGUUUUAAGUUUGAAAGAUGCAAUUGCAUCACUCAAAGAUGAUCCCGCGUUGUAUUAGCUAGUUGGUGAGGUAAAGGCUCACCAAGGCGAUGAUACAUAGCCGACCUGAGAGGGUGAUCGGCCCAAUUGGGACUGAGACCCGGCCCAAACCCCUACGGGAGGCAGCAGUAGGGAAUUUUCGGCAAUGGACGAAAGUCGGACCGAGCAACGCCGGGGGAGGGAAGAAGUUUUUCGGAUCUUAAAACUUUUUUGGUAGAGAAGAACGUUGGUGGGGGGGGAAAGCUCAUCAAGUGACGGUAACUACCCAAAAAGGGACGGCUAACUACGU
rnacentral:rRNA from 1 species